rfam:Neolentinus lepideus HHB14362 ss-1 unplaced genomic scaffold NEOLEscaffold_4, whole genome shotgun sequence.
GGCUACCUGGCGCAAUGGUAGCGCGUUUGGCUUCGAUUGCCAACGUAACCAAAAGGUUGCAGGUUCGAGUCCUGCGGUGGUCA